AGAAGAUGGCGGAGGCCUAACACAUGCAAGUCGAGCGCUGUAGCAAUACAGAGCGGCGCACGGGUGAGUAACACGUGGGAACGUGCCCUAUGGUUCGGAAUAACUCAGGGAAACUUGAGCUAAUACCGGAUAAGCCCUACGGGGGAAAGAUUUAUCGCCAUUGGAGCGGCCCGCGUUGGAUUAGCUAGUUGGUGGGGUAAAAGCCUACCAAGGCAACGAUCCAUAGCUGGUUUGAGAGAACGACCAGCCACACUGGGACUGAGACACGGCCCAGACUCCUACGGGAGGCAGCAGUGGGGAAUCUUGGACAAUGGGGGCAACCCUGAUCCAGCCAUGCCGCGUGAGUGAUGAAGGCCCCUAGGGUUGUAAAACUCUUUCGCACGCGACGAUAAAUGACCGGUAGCCGUGAGAAGAAGCCUCCNUGCUAACUUUCNUGCCAACAAGCCCGCGGUAAUUAC
rnacentral:rRNA from 1 species